UCUAGGGUUUGAAAAACCCAAAUUGCUUCUAAUUUAUUUAUAUGCUUUGACUCACAAAUUCCACAUAGCAAUAUAAUUGCGUAAUGCAUGAAACAUAUAUAUAUAUAUAUAUAUAUAGGAAGAAAAAUAUAAACAUAGAGGGGUUCAUGCAUCAUGGGGAAUGUUUUCAUGCUUCGUGGACGUUUCAAAUAUCUUCUUUUAUUUUAACGUACCUGAUUAGCAGAAAACAAAUAAAAGCCUUUGAAUUUUGUAGAAGAGAGCCUCCUUCUACGAUCCUUCAGUUCCUUAGCUUCUGGCAAGAGCGUGCUGAUAACAUGUUGUAGGCCUAUUUAAUUGAGUUAUUCUAAGGGAAUAAAGAGAGGGAGGCCAGCAGUGGUGAGAGAGAAGAGAGAGAUUUAAUUGUGAGGUGUGUGUUGUAUCACCCCAUUGUGCCUUUAUUUAUAGUAGUAGGAUAUGUUAAAUCCUUACCCUUUUAGGAUUACAACUCUAAUAGGAAUUAGACUACUAAAGGGAAUAUAAAAGAUAUCCCUAAAUACACUAGGAUUUAUACAAUUAUAUUCCUAUUCCUAAUAUGACUGCAACAAUUUAGAAAUUUUUUAAUGACAUCAACAAACCUUCGAUUUCGUUGAAUUAUUAACCAAGGGGUUUCGUGAAAACAUUUAGAACCCUAACUGGGUAUGUGUGUAAUUUUCGAAACCUUGUGGGAUUUCUGGAAACAUGAAAAACCUCAAUAGAUGUUAGGAUGAAUAAAUUUAAGUAAAAACAUGUCCAAUCACUAAAUUCAUUUCUAUGCAAAAGUUGUGUGGUUCCUAACUCACCUCAUGUUUUACAAACAAGGUGUAGUUGUUGUUGGAAGUUUGAGUAGAAAUUUCCUUGUCCCACAUUGGCCAUUCCCAAAAGAGUUUAUCACUUUAUAAGGCUUUGUCCUUUAAAGAAAGUAAUUGGAGUAAUAGGCCUGGAGACUAAAAUUGGGCUCACCCUUGGGGCUCUUGGGCUCUAAUAAUUAAAUUAAUUAAUUAUUUUCAGAAUUAAUUAAUUAUUUUUAAUUUCGAAUUUAAAUUAAUUAUUUAUUUAUUUUUUCCAACAGACUCAUCUUUUCAGAUGAAGUCUGAAGUGUGAAAACGCAGAAACAAAAACACCCAUUUCAGCAGAUGUCUCCCAACAGUUGCAUCCCUUCCUUAUACCUGUUGCGAACAGGUACAAUCACAUUAUAUAUACAUCCAUCUGCAUGGCAUUUACAAUAUAUAGAAAAAUCAUAAAUCUCCUCCUGCAAUCUUAAACAUCCUUACUGAGAGAACCACAUUAAUAUUCGCCAGAAGUCUAUUUUCCGGUGCUGGAAUUUCUGACUUAGAUCGUUGAAUCCUGGUGGAACAGACAUCCGUAGAACUACAAGCACAGAGUAGGGACAAAAUUUCUGUUUCAAGGACAUUGCGGUACGCAAGCCUCGAUCUUCAAGUUGUCUGUUUUAUAAUUCAUAUUCUAGUUUAUAUUCUGUUAGUUUCUAUUGAAUUCAAUUAUUUAUUAGCAUAUAUAAAUUAUCACAGAUUGUUGACUUAAAUCCAAUAGUUGUAUGGUGUGAUCGAUGAUGUAAGUAUACUUUGUUAAAUAAUUUUUUUCCGAACCGCCGAGAUUUUCUAAAAAAAAUAUAUACUUUGUUAGAUUUACAUUUUUUAUUCUCCUCUUAAAAAGCAAUAUUGAUAAGAUGAGCUGAUGAGGCAAACUUAUUGGAUACCUAUUUAUUUGGAGAUGCUGUUAAUGUGCCAUGUUUAACAUUUGAUUUCAUGUAAUCAACAAUCUUUUAUUUAGAGUCUAUCAGGAUAUAAUAUGAUCAGUUAAUAGUGGUUGCAUAUACUUUUUAGUGUUUUAACUUCUACAUGGGUUCCAUGUGCAGCUUAACUAUUAAAAUGUACACUCAAGUGAAUUGGACAUGAGAUUGGAAUGACCAAAUUAAACAAAAGUGACUCCUCCAUCAUGUGAUCCCCAUUUCGUUACACUGUAAAUAGUGAAUCUUGGGCAGGAGGAACAGCUUAAAAUUUAUUCGAAUAUUAGGGAUGAAACUACUAGAAUAUUCUAGGAAAUUUUGUGACCUCUCUUCUGUUAAUAAUUAAGAAUAUAUAUAUAUAUAUACACACACACACACGUACGUAAACUAUAGCCUAAACUAUACUUGAUAUUGAAUUAAUCGUUCAUGCUUUCAAUGAUCACAAGUUAUUUCAAUCUCUGGUUUUUAUUAGGAUUCCGAACCUUGAAUCUCUAACCUACUCUUAUUCAUCAUUCUAUGCAUCAUCAAUCUAUAUUGCUAGUGUUUAUCCUUUCACAUUUAAUUUAUAAUAUCGUAUGAGGAUAUGAUGAAUUUCGAACCAAACUCAGACAUGAUAUUUUUUCCAAAUAACAAGAGGAUUUUUCAUGAUCAAAUCGUUUUCAUGUCCGCAACACAUGGCGGAAGCAUAUAGUGAAAAAGGUCUCCACAUCAGGGAUUUGGAUCCCAUCCGGAUCUAAAUUGUGGGGAUCUUAAGAAUACUCACAUCUUAACCAUUCA
rnacentral:lncRNA from 1 species